CCCUUAGAUGUUCUGGGCCGCACACGCGCUACACUGAAGGAGGCAGCGUGUACUCCUGGAUCGAAAGAUUUGGGUAACCCGCGAAUCUCCUUCGUGCUAGGGAUUGAGGUUUGCAAUUAUCCUUCAUGAACGAGGAAUUCCCAGUAAGUGCAAGUCAUAAGCUUGCGCUGACUACGUCCCUGCCCUUUGUACACACCGCCCGUCGCUACUACCGAUUGAAUGAUUUAGUGAGGACUUCGGACUGGGACCGAUGCGGCUUUCGGGCUGCGUCGGUAUUCUGGAAAGAUGUCCAAACUGUAUCAUUUAGAGGAAGUAAAAGUCAUAACA
rnacentral:rRNA from 1 species